CAAAACUAGGUCCUGGCCGGGUUCGAACCGGCGACCUUCUGCGUGUGAAGCAGACGUGAUAACCACUACACCACAGGACCGCAUGUCGAAGAGAG
rnacentral:tRNA from 1 species